GGAAGGGAUCACGGCAGGGAUUGAAUGAGGGUAUUGCGCAUGAGUUGAGGUGUUUAGAGGCUUGACUUCAGUGCAGGACAGGGGUUGAGGUGUUUAGAGGCUUGACUUCAGUGCAGGACAGGGGUUGAGGUGUUCAGAGGCUUGACUUCAGUGCAGGACAGGGGUUGAGGUGUUUAGAGGCUUGACUUCAGUGCAGGACAGGGGUUGAGGUGUUCAGAGGCUUCAGUGCAGGACAGGGGUUGAGGUGUUCAGAGGCUUCAGUGCAGGACAGGGGUUGAGGUGUUCAGAGGCUUCAGUGCAGGACAGGGGUUGAGGUGUUCAGAGGCUUCAGUGCAGGACAGGGGUUGAGGUGUUCAGAGGCUUCAGUGCAGGACAGGGGUUGAGGUGUUCAGAGG
ensembl:lncRNA